UGGGGAAUUUUGCACAAUGGGGGAAACCCUGAUGCAGCGACGCCUCGUGAUUUAGAAGGCCUUCGGGUUGUAAAAAUCUUUUCUAUGGGAAGAAAAUGACAGUACCAUAGGAAUAAGGACCGGCUAAUUACGUGCCAGCAGCCGCGGUAAUACGUAAGGUCCGAGCGUUGUCCGGAAUCAUUGGGCGUAAAGGGUACGUAGGCGGGUAAGCAAGUUAGAAGUGAAAUCCUAUAGCUCAACUAUAGUAAGCUUUUAAAACUGCUCAUCUUGAGGUAUGGAAGGGAAAGUGGAAUUCCUAGUGUAGCGGUGAAAUGCGCAGAUAUUAGGAGGAAUACCGGUGGCGAAGGCGACGUUCUGGCCAUAUCCUGACGCUGAGGUACGAAAGAGUGGGUAGCAAACAGG
rnacentral:rRNA from 1 species